rnacentral:rRNA from 1 species
UACAGAGGGUGCAAACGUUGUUCGGAAUUACUGGGCGUAAAGCGCGUGCAGGCGGCCUUGCAAGUCGGACGUGAAAUCCCACGGCUCAACCGUGGAAGUGCAUUCGAAACUGCGAGGCUGGAGUCCUGGAGAGGAAAGUGGAAUACUCGGUGUAGAGGUGAAAUUCGUAGAUAUCGAGUGGAACACCGGUGGCGAAGGCGGCUUUCUGGACAGGUACUGACGCUGAGACGCGAAAGCGUGGGGAGCGAACAGG